rnacentral:sRNA from 1 species
GCCGGGUGCAGUGGCGCCUGCCUGUAAUCCCAGCGACUCCGGAGGCUGAGACAGGAGGAUUGAGAUUCAAAGUCAGCCUCAGCAAUGGCAAGGCACUAAGCAACUCAGUGAAACCCUGUCUCUA